rnacentral:rRNA from 1 species
UACGAAGGGGGCAAGCGUUGUUCGGAAUUACUGGGCGUAAAGGGCGCGUAGGCGGCCUUCUAAGUCGAACGUGAAAUCCCCGGGCUCAACCCGGGAACUGCGUCCGAGACUGGAAGGCUCGAAUCCGGGAGAGGGAUGUGGAGUUCCAGGUGUAGCGGUGAAAUGCGUAGAUAUCUGGAGGAACAUCGGUGGCGAAGGCGGCAUCCUGGACCGGUAUUGACGCUGAGGCGCGAAAGCCAGGGGAGCAAACGGG